GCCUGGGUGGCACAGCGGUUAAGCGCCUGCCUUUGGCUCAGGACGUGAUCCCAGUGUUGUGGGAUCGAGCCCCACAUCAGGCU
rfam:Ailuropoda melanoleuca scaffold346_51, whole genome shotgun sequence.